GAGGGUAUAGGUCAGUGGUAGAGUAUGUGCUUAGCAUGCACGAAGUCCUGGGUUCAAUCCCCAGUACCGCCA
rnacentral:tRNA from 1 species